CAGAAGUGGAAACCCUAUAUCAUGGGAAGCAUUUUCUGUUUUGUUUUUCUCUGUGCCAGUUGUCUGAUUUUUACAUCUCACGCUCUUUAUCCGCCGCAGCAACGAUGUCCCCCGAACACUGUGAGAGUGGGUACGUGUCAUACGUUUAAGAAGUGCAGGUUGGGUGUCUGCAUCAUGGAAGACCCUUUGCAAAUGGGUGGCUCAGGAAUAUGCUGUAAAGGACGUGGAUUUUACUGAGAGAGAAAAAACCUGGGCUCUCAAUCAUUGAGAUUGGUGUCAAAUAAGAAUUUGACUUAUUGUUGAGAAAAAUAAAGUGUAAUGUUAAA